GCACUGCCCGUCAUCCGAGACAAGUACAAGGAUCUGACUGGCGAAGUGGAGGAAAAUGAGAGAUACGCGUAUGAGUGGCAGAGAUGCCUGGGGAGCGCCCUGGAUGUCAUUAAGAAGGCAAACGACACCUUAAACGGCAUUAGCAGCAGUGCUGUCUGCACAGAAGUUAUCCAGUCAGCCCAAGGCAUGGAGUAUCUCCUAGCCAGAUGAGAAUUCACUGGAUUUUUCCUCCUGUAUGUUACGGCCUGGGAUCAAAAACGCCCAGGAGCUGGCUUGUGGAGUGUGUCUCCUAAAUGUGGACUCCAGAAGCCGGGCAUUCAACUCAGAAACAGACAGUUUCAAGCUGGCCUAUGGGGGACAUCAGUACCACGCCAGCUGUGCCAACUUCUGGAUCAACUGUGUUGAACCCAAGCCUCCCGGCCUCCUCUUGCCAGAUCUGCUCUGAAAAGCUGCUCAGUGAAGCUGAUUUUGGGUUGAUUCUGUCACAGGACUUAGGGUGACAGGGAUCAAUAAAUAGAAUGCAGUACUGCAGAGCCCCUCCCACCGGUCUCUUUGC
rnacentral:lncRNA from 1 species